CGCUCUUGUAAUUUUAGGCUCUAUCACCAUCACCUCCGACCUCACUGCUCUCUAUACAUUGGUGUUGUUUGCAGAGAUGGAAGAUAGAGAUAUUGUUUGCAAGAGUUCAAUGGUUUUGGGGUAUGGAAACAGCGAAAGAGUUUAUGCUGGACAACAUAUAUAUCAUGGAUGGAAGAGAGGAGCGUGAUCUGUUUGAAUAGUUUGAUUCAAGGAUAUGUCAAGGCUGGGGACAUUGAGGAGGCAUUCGUUUUGAGAUAGUGCCUAUGAAGGACUUGGUAGUGUUGGAUGUGAUAGUUUCUGCUGCUUGGAAUAUUUUAGAAGCUAUGCUAAUUCGUGAUGUUGUGACUUGAAAUUCAAUGGUCUUGGGUUCUGUAAAGCAGGGAAUUUGGAAGCUGCAGAAUUCUUUUUUGACAGGAUGCUAAAAAUAGCAGCCGCAUAAUGCUUUGGACGUGUAUGAGUUCUUUAGGAAUAAGGUAUCAAAGGCCAAAUUGGAACUUUAUAUUGGGUAUCAUACUAGCUUGUUCACAGUGGUUACCAGUUUGAUAGAUGUGUAUGCAAAUGGUGCAAGAAAAGAAAGAGCUUUGAAAGCUUUUAAGAAAGGUCUAUAAGAAAGAUUUGCCCUGCAAAAUAUUACUGCCUUUGCAAAUCAUGGACCGAAUCAAGAUAGCAUUUCUUUAUCCAAAGCAAGUACAGCAGAGGUAGGGGAAGAAAGGUGUCAGAGAAAGCCCAAGGCCCACGACGUUGAUGCAAAGGGAAAAAAUAAAACUUGAUAUAGUUGCUUUCUAGUGGUUUUGACUGCUUGUAACAUUGGGGGCAUUGUGAACGAGGGAGGAGGUUUCAAGCAAAUGACCGAUGAUCAUGGAAUUCAAUCAGUGGCAAAGCUCUAUGCCGGUGUUGUUGAUGACCUUCUUAGUCAUGCUAGGUGCCUUGAAUAAGCAUAUAACCUUGUUAGUAGCGUAGCAGUCAUGCUGGGUUCAUCACAAGAUUCAAUUGGCUGAAAUUUCAGGAGCUGCGUUAUUCAAGAUCGAGCCUGAUAAUAUUCUGGUAAUCUUGUUCUUUUGUCUGAUAUCCAUGCAGUUGCUGGAAGAUCGGAUCAUGUUGCUAAAUUGAGAGCAAUGAUCUGGGAGAACCAAAUUAGAAAGCAUAGAAGUUCCAGCCGAUUUGAGUUGGGAAGUGUUAUCCAUGAAGCUUCAUGAGAGAUACUUCUCAACAUUUAUUAUAUCUUAGACUCAAUCAAAGAUAUGAAGGUUUUGGAUCUAUUAUGGAAAUUCAAAAGAGAAGUAUUUCCUCCCUGCACCACGUGUCCCUCUAAUAUGUGCUCCUGCAGCAUUUUGAAAGAUGGAUGAUCAGAAUGAAGUGAUAUAGAGACAAGACUGCAAAUUUUCCAGCAGAGUACUGCCCAGAUUCAUAAACACAGUUCCUCCUAUAAAACUAGGUGGUUGAGUCCGUUCAAGGAUCAAAUCCCAAGAAAUCUCACUUCGUCAAAUUAACAGUAAGAUUCAUUAUUUAUUUGGGAAAA